rnacentral:rRNA from 1 species
CAGCAGCCGCGGUAAUACGUAGGGUGCGAGCGUUAAUCGGAAUUACUGGGCGUAAAGCGUGCGCAGGCGGUUCGUUAAGACAGAUGUGAAAUCCCCGGGCUUAACCUGAGAACUGCAUUUGUGACUGGCGAGCUAGAGUAUGGCAGAGGGGGGUAGAAUUCCACGUGUAGCAGUGAAAUGCGUAGAGAUGUGGAGGAAUACCGAUGGCGAAGGCAGCCCCCUGGGCCAAUACUGACGCUCAUGCACGAAAGCGUGGGGAGCAAACAGGAUUAGAUACCCGUGUAGUCCCUGUCUCUUAUAA